GAUGAACGCUGGCGGCGUGCCUAAUACAUGCAAGUCGAGCGGACCAAAGAGAGCUUGCUCUCUGAGGUUAGCGGCGGACGGGUGAGUAACACGUGGGUAACCUGCCUGUAAGACGGGGAUAACUUCGGGAAACCGAAGCUAAUACCGGAUGAUAAAGAGAAACGCCUGUUUCUUUUUUGAAAGUCGGCCUUGUGCUGACGCUUACAGAUGGGCCCGCGGCGCAUUAGCUAGUUGGUGAGGUAACGGCUCACCAAGGCGACGAUGCGUAGCCGACCUGGGAGGGUGAUCGGCCACACUGGGGCUGAGACACGGCCCAGACUCCUACAGGAGGCAGCAGUAGGGAAUCUUCGGCAAUGGACGAAAGUCUGACCGAGCAACGCCGCGUGAGCGAUGAAGGCCUUCGGGUCGUAAAGCUCUGUUGUCAGAGAAGAACAAGUACCGGAGUAACUGCCGGUACCUUGACGGUACCUGACCAGAAAGCCACGGCUAACUACGUGCCAGCAGCCGCCGUAA
rnacentral:rRNA from 1 species